CACCCUCUCCACAGGUGUGUUUCGGCACACCUGUGGAUCAUCAGCGGCAGCAUAUUAGGAGCGGGUUCCCGGCACUUCGUCGCCAGAGUGUUGUCGCCUUUGUGGCUCCUGUUGUCUGGACACUCCAUGCGAAGUACGGGAUUUGCAGUUUCAUCCGCUGAGCUCCCUGACGAGUUACGCCCACCUACCAGCUGUUCGAUCACACUGAUCCGCUCCUGAUCAGACGCUCC